CAAUCGGCCCUUUUCAGGGCCAACAAAUGUAUACUAAAUAGCUAAUU
rfam:Aedes aegypti strain Liverpool supercont1.431 genomic scaffold, whole genome shotgun sequence.